rnacentral:rRNA from 1 species
ACGCACGCUGGCGGCGUGCCUAAUACAUGCAAGUCGAGCGAACGGACGAGAAGCUUGCUUCUCUGAUGUUAGCGGCGGACGGGUGAGUAACACGUGGAUAACCUACCUAUAAGACUGGGAUAACUUCGGGAAACCGGAGCUAAUACCGGAUAAUAUUUUGAACCGCAUGGUUCAAAAGUGAAAGACGGUCUUGCUGUCACUUAUAGAUGGAUCCGCGCUGCAUUAGCUAGUUGGUAAGGUAACGGCUUACCAAGGCAACGAUGCAUAGCCGACCUGAGAGGGUGAUCGGCCACACUGGAACUGAGACACGGUCCAGACUCCUACGGGAGGCAGCAGUAGGGAAUCUUCCGCAAUGGGCGAAAGCCUGACGGAGCAACGCCGCGUGAGUGAUGAAGGUCUUCGGAUCGUAAAACUCUGUUAUUAGGGAAGAACAUAUGUGUAAGUAACUGUGCACAUCUUGACGGUACCUAAUCAGAAAGCCACGGCUAACUACGUG